UACGUAGGGUGCAAGCGUUGUCCGGAAUUAUUGGGCGUAAAGAGCUCGUAGGCGGUUUGUCGCGUCGAAUGUGAAAACCCGGGGCUCAACCCCGGGCCUGCAUUCGAUACGGGCAGACUAGAGUCCGGAAGAGGAGAGUGGAAUUCCUGGUGUAGCGGUGAAAUGCGCAGAUAUCAGGAAGAACACCCGUGGCUAAGGCGGCUCUCUAGUACGGUACUGACGCUGAGACGCGAAAGCGUGGGGAGCGAACAGG
rnacentral:rRNA from 1 species